rnacentral:rRNA from 1 species
UACGUAGGGUGCGAGCGUUGAUCGGAAUUACUGGGCGUAAAGCGUGCGUAGGCGGUUCGUUAAGUCAGCUGUGAAAGCCCCGGGCUCAACCUGGGAACUGCGGUUGAAACUGGCGAACUAGAAUCUGGCAGAGGGGGGUGGAAUUCCACGUGUAGCAGUGAAAUGCGUAGAGAUGUGGAGGAACACCGAUGGCGAAGGCAGCCCCCUGGGCUGAGAUUGACGCUCAGGCACGAAAGCGUGGGGAGCAAACAGG